rnacentral:rRNA from 1 species
UACGAAGGGGGCUAGCGUUGCUCGGAAUUACUGGGCGUAAAGCGCACGUAGGCGGCUUUCUAAGUCGGGGGUGAAAUCCUGGAGCUCAACUCCAGAACUGCCUUCGAUACUGGAAAGCUCGAGUCCGGGAGAGGUGAGUGGAACUGCGAGUGUAGAGGUGAAAUUCGUAGAUAUUCGCAAGAACACCAGUGGCGAAGGCGGCUCACUGGCCCGGUACUGACGCUGAGGUGCGAAAGCGAGGGGAGCAAACAGG